UACGGAGGAGCUAGCGUUGUUCGGAAUUACUGGGCGUAAAGCGCGCGUAGGCGGCUUUGUAAGUUAGAGGUGAAAGCCCGGAGCUCAACUCCGGAACUGCCUUUAAAAACUGCAUCGCUUGAAUCCAGGAGAGGUGAGUGGAAUUCCGAGUGUAGAGGUGAAAUUCGUAGAUAUUCGGAAGAACACCAGUGGCGAAGGCGGCUCACUGGACCGGCAUUGACGCUGAGGUGGCGAAAGCGUGGGGAGCAAACAGG
rnacentral:rRNA from 1 species